AUGUUAAAAAUAAAUCUAUUUUUGUAUUCCUCAUCUCAUGGGCUUUUUAAUGAACCGGUUGGAUUUUUAUUUCAACUGAUCUCACCGUCGAGCACUGCCUCUCCUUCUCUGACCGUCACUACUCAUCAUCGCCAUCGUCAUCACCAUUGUACAUAUUCAAAAUGUCUCAAUCUUUACUCCUCUAGAAUCCCCUUAUACUGUUGGAAUAUAAUACCAGAGAAGAGAAAGAGGAGUCUUAGAAGAGAAGAGGAAACAAGAACACAAGAGCAAGCUAGGGUUGAUUUUGUGGAAACAUCAAGAAUCA